GUGGCUGCCGGGAAAGCGAUGGCGGCGACAGCGGGAUCUGCUCCGACUUUGUUCCUGUGCUGGAGAGCAGGCCCUGAGGUGUCCCUGAGCAAUGGCCCGGAGGUGAGCCCAGAGCUGGCCCUGAGGUGGCCCUGAGAAGAAGUGGAAGGCAGAGGUGGUGCUGAGGCAGGAGAGCCCCGUGCUGGGGAAGAGGCUGAGCUGGGAGUGCCCAGCAGCGAGAAGGUGCUGUGUCCAUGCCCUGUGUGCCAGGAUUUGUCCUUCCCAAAGCUUGGGCGGAUGGAGGAGGAGGCUGCGAGGAAGAGGAAAAAGCCGCGGGCCCCCCAGGCAGGCCCCGAGCUGAGGACGGAGAGCACGGAGGACAAAUCCCCGGCAGAGCCUGGUGGGAGAGGC